rnacentral:rRNA from 1 species
CGGGUACGGAGAAUUAGGGUUCGGUUCCGGAGAGGGAGCCUGAGAAACGGCUACCACAUCUAAGGAAGGCAGCAGUGGUGAAAAUUACCCAAUCCUGAUUCAGGGAGGUAGUGACAAGAAAUAGAAAUCUGGGCCACUUUCGUGGUUACGGAAUUUAAAUGAGAACAAUUUAAAAGACUUAUCGAGGAACAAUUGGAGGGCAAGUCUGGUGCCAGCAGCCGCGGUAAUUCCAGCUCCAAUAGCGUAUAUUAAAGUUGUUGCAGUUAAAAAGCUCGUAGUUGAACUUCUGUACAGUCUCAUUUCUGGCUUAGGUCAAGAUGUUGGCUGUGCAUCCGCUUGCAAAGCUGGUUCGGCCUUAACUGGUCGGCUAGUAGAGUAAGCCCUUUACUUUGAAAAAAUUAGAGUGUUUCAGGCAGGCAAUGGCUCGAAUACAUUAGCAUGGAAUAAUGGAAUAGGACUUUUGUCCAUUUGGUUGGUUAUUGGACUUAAGUAAUGAUUAAAAGGGACAGUUGGGGGCAUUGGUAUUUAACAGUCAGAGGUGAAAUUCUUGGAUUUGUUAAAGACUAACUUAUGCGAAAGCAUUUGCCAAGGAUGUUUUCAUUAAUCAAGAACGAAAGUUAGGGGAUCAAAGACGAUCAGAUACCGUCCUAGUCUUAACUAUAAACUAUACCGACUCAGAAUCGGAAUGGCCUUUCAAACUAUUCCGGCGCUGUAUGAGAAAUCAAAGUCUUUGGGUUCUGGGGGGAGUAUGGUCGCAAGGCUGAAACUUAAAGGAAUUGACGGAAGGGCACCACCAGGCGUGGAACCUGCGGCUUAAUUUGACUCAACACGGGGAAACUUACGAGCGCAAAACUAGGGUAGGAUUGACAGAUUGAGAGCUCUUUCUUGAUUCUUAGGGUGGUGGUGCAUGGCCGUUCUUAGUUGGUGGAGUGAUUUGUCUGGUUAAUUCCKUUAACGAACGAGACCUUAACCUGCUAAAUAGUACGUUGAUCUUUAAUUGGCGUUACUUCUUAGAGGGACUAUGUGUAUUGAAACACAUGGAAGUUUGAGGCAAUAACAGGUCUGUGAUGCCCUUAGAUGUGGUCGGCCGCACGCGCGUUACAAUGAUAAAUUCAGAAAGUUUACCUGGUUCGGAAGAAUUCAGGGUAAUCUUUGUAAUAUUUAUCGUGUUAGGGAUCGAUCUUUGCAAUUAUAGAUCUUGAACGAGGAAUGCCUAGUAAGUGCGCUUCAUCAGAGCGUACUGAUUACGUCCCUGUCCUUUGUACACACCGCCCGUCGCUCCUACCGAUUUCGAAUUAUCCGGUGAACCUUCUGGACUGAAGUAGCAAUAC